rnacentral:rRNA from 1 species
GACGAACGCUGGCGGCGUGCUUAACACAUGCAAGUCGAACGGAAAGGCCCUGCUUUUGGGGGGUGGGCGAGGGGGGAAAGGGGGAGGAACACGGGAGGAACCUGGCCUUGAGUUUGGGAUAAAUUGAGGGAACUGGGGGUAAUAACGGGUAGGGGCGCCUGCUGCGUGGGGGGGGUGGGGGGGUUGCGUCGGUUGGGGGUGGACUCGCGGCGUAUGAGCUUGUUGGUGGGGUAGUGGCUUGCCAAGGGUUUGACGGGUAGCGGGCCUGAGAGGGUGACCGGCCACAUUGGGACUGAGAGACGGCCGAGACUGCUACGGGAGGCAGCAGUGGGGAAUAUUGCACAUUGGGCGGCGGCGUGAUGCAGCAACGCCGCGUGCGGGAUGACGGCCUUCGGGUUGUAAACCGCUUUCGCCUGUGACGAAGCGUGAGUGACGGUAAUGGGUAAAGAAGCGCCAGCUAACUACGUG